rnacentral:rRNA from 1 species
ACGGAUUAGUGGCGCACGGGUGAGUAACGCAUAGAUGACAUGCCCUUUAGUUUGGGAUAGCCACUAGAAAUGGUGAUUAAUACCAAAUACCACCCUACGGGGGAAAGAUUUAUCGCUAAAGGAUUGGUCUAUGUCCUAUCAGCUUGUUGGCGGGGUAAGAGCCCACCAAGGCAAUGACGGGUAUCCGGCCUGAGAGGGUGAACGGACACACUGGAACUGAGACACGGUCCAGACUCCUACGGGAGGCAGCAGUAGGGAAUAUUGCUCAAUGGGCGCAAGCCUGAAGCAGCAACGCCGCGUGGAGGAUGAAGGUUUUAGGAUUGUAAACUCCUUUUGUGAGAGAAGAUA